rnacentral:lncRNA from 1 species
AUGUGUUGCUUCCUCCACAGGUUUAUCUGGAACACAAUGCCGCUUAUGAGCUGCCCUUUUCCUCUUCAGAUACUUUCAUGGGCAACGCUAGAUAAUGCUCUACACCCCGUACGCAGCAGAUGGGAAAGAUCCAGGGUGGCACGACGCCCGUUUCCACAGGGUCAUUCCAACCAUUAGACCACCAACGUCAGGUGACUGCUGAUGGGAAACCUCCACCAAGUGUUCAAGAAACGCGGGAAUGAGCCAAGAUGCUGCAGAGUGUGCCAGCUCGCCGGAAUUGGCAGCAGAGGUGAGCCGAAAACCUGAGAUAACUGAUAGUUUUGUCAA